rnacentral:lncRNA from 1 species
UUUCUGUUUUGUUAAUGAUCAUAGGCAGGCAAUAGGUCAGCUCUUGGUCACAUAGGAGUAUGGCAAUAGGCCACUCUAGUACAGUAGUUGGUAGAACCAUACAUCAGCCAUACUUGGUAGGAGGAUGAUGUAUGCAGUGUACUAGGAGUAGUUGGGGCUGUACCCAGCCAUGCCUUGUGUACCUUAUAGUUGGUACAAGGCUUGUAUAUAUACACCAUGUAUGCAAUGAAGCAAAGGCAGUUUUAGUGCCACAUAUUUCCUGGGUUCAGGUUUCAGCCAAGACUGAAACCGUGUGUGAGUGUGUGUGCCUGAGCUCGGCUCAUCUUCUACCUUGGGUCAGGGGAGAGGAAGAGGGAAGGUGAGCAGGGUCUGCUUACCUGGUGCCUGUGUGCAGGUGCCAACAAUUGGUAUCGGAGCCGUACAAGCCGUGUGCUAGGUCCAUCGACCGGCGAUGGCGGACGGUGCGGCUCGGAACGGUGGAGGGGAGGGCGCGGAGCGUCAGCUCCAGCCGGCGCCACCGCAGGUGGAGGUGCGCGUGGUGAAGGAGUUCGGCGGCAGCAGCUCCUGGCCCAUGCUCACCCGCACCAACUACGGUGAGUGGGCGACGCAGAUGAAGUGGAAGCUGCGCGCGCGGAAGUGGUGGUGGGCGAUUGAGGAAGAUGAUCGCACCGAGGACGCCCAGGUGGGAGUCAUGGAGGCGCUCAUGGCCUCGACGCCGGCGGAGUACCACGAGGCGCUGGGCGCCAAGGACACCGCGAAGCAGGCCUGGGAGAUGCUGGAGUCGCUGCGUGUCGGCUCGGACCGAGCCAAGCGGGCCAGGAUCCAGCAGCUCCGCAGGGAGCUCAACGACAUCAAGUUCAAGCCCGGAGAGUCGGUGGAGGAGUACACUCUCCGUCUUCAAUCUCUGGCCACGCAACUGGCCACCUACGGGAAGAAGGUGGACGACGAGGACCUCGUCACCAAGCUGCUGUGCACCGUCCCGGCCAAGUAUUCGCAGCUUGCCAUGUCCAUUGAGAUGAUGUUGGACAUCUCCACAUUGUCUCUGGAGGACGUGGCUGGGCGGCUGCGAGUUGCAGAGAGCCGCAUCACGCCGGCACCGGAGAAGGAGAAGGCCAAGCUACUCCUGACGGAAGAGGAGUGGACCGCGCGCAUGAAGGACAAGCGCCGGACCGGGGAAGCCUCCUCCAGCCGCGGCGGUGAUGGCGCCAAGGGGCGCGGGAAGCCGCCGGCGGACAAGAAGAAGAAGAAGAAGAACACCGACCCCAACGCCUGCAGGCGCUGCGGGAAGGUGGGGCACUGGGCACGAGAAUGCCCAGAGAAGAAGCCGGAGAAGAAGGAAGAGGCCCACCUAGCUCGGGACGACAGCGACGACGAGUGCGCUCUGUUGAUGGGGGAGUAUUGCGCGCUGCAGGAAGGCGAAGCAGGGGAGGCGGAGGCGGAGCAGGGGACUGCGCCGCAGGCCGUCGAACUUGACAAGUCUCGCGCGCGCGUCCUCCUUGGAGCGGACGGUGAAGAGCUGGAGCAGAGGUGGUACCUCGACUCAGGUGCGAGCAACCACAUGACAGGGAGCCGCACCGCCUUCUCCAACCUCGACGAGUCAGCCACCGGAAGCGUGAAGUUCGGGGAUGGCUCAAAGGUGCAGAUUCGCGGCCGCGGCACCGUCCUCUUCCGGUGCCGGAACGGCGAGCACCGUGCCUUGACGGAUGUCUACUACAUCCCUCAGCUGCGCACCAGCAUCGUCAGCCUGGGACAGUUGGACGAACGCGGCAGCGAGGUCCUGAUUCGCGACGGGGUGUUGCGGAUCAGGGACAGGGAGCGGCGUCUUCUCGCCAAGGUAUCGCGCUCCCGUAACCGACUCUAUCUUCUGGAUUUGAAGGUAGAGCAGCCCGUAUGUUUGGCGGCGUCGUGCAAGGAGGAGCCCUGGCUGUGGCAUGGCCGGUUCGGCCACCUUAGUUUCGACGCGCUGGGCCGUCUUGGGAAGAUGGUGACAGGGCUGCCGGCGAUCCAGCAUGUCAGCGAGCUGUGCGACAGUUGCCUGGCAGGGAAGCAGAGGAGGCUGCCGUUCCCGAAGACCGCUAGGUACCGCGCGGCGGAUCCGCUUGAGCUGGUCCAUGGGGACCUUUGCGGGCCGAUCACGCUGGCGACGCACGGCGGGAGGAGGUACUUCCUCUUGCUCGUGGAUGACUGCAGCCGGUACAUGUGGCUGCAGCUCCUGACGAGCAAGAGCGACGCGGCGGAGGCGAUCAAGCACUUCAAGGCGCGCACGGAGAUGGAGUCCGGGAAGAAGCUGAAGGUGCUUCGGACUGACCGCGGCGGUGAGUUCACGGCGGCUGAAUUCACCACGUACUGCGCCGAGGAAGGAGUAGGGCGUCAUCUCACAGCCCCCUACUCACCGCAGCAGAACGGUGUGGUAGAGCGCCGGAACCAGACCAUCAUCGGCAUGGCGCGGUCUAUGCUGAAGGCGAAGGACAUGCCGGCUGAGUUCUGGGGAGAAGCCGUGAGCACAGCAGUGUUCAUCCUGAACCGUUGCCCCACCAAAGCGUUGAAGGGGCAGACUCCAUUCGAGGCUUGGCACGGACGCAAGCCGAACGUCGCGUUCCUACGCACGUUUGGUUGUGUCGGCCAUGUGAAGACCACCAAGCCGGGCCUCACAAAGCUGGAAGACAGGAGCACCAAGGCGGUGUUCCUCGGCUACGAGGAGGGAUCAAAGGCCUAUCGGCUCUACGAUCCGGUCGGCGGAAAGGUGCUGGUGUCACGAGAUGUGGUGUUCGACGAGGCGGCGGCGUGGAAAUGGGACCAGGCGGAAGAGCAAGGAGGUGGUGGGCUUGGCGACACUUUUGUCGUGGAACACAUGACGAUCCACGGCAGGGAAGAAGGGUCAGAAGGGCCAGCAACCGGGGAAGCCGGUGCCACUGCAGCUCCAGAGGUGGAGGAGCCACCAAGUCCAGCGACAGCUGGAACGCCAGUCCACUCCCCGGCGGCUGGGGUGGGAUCCCCUGCCUCGCCGGGGCUGGCAACGCCAGCGGCCGGAGACGUCGAAUUCGCCACACCACCAAGUGACUACACCGAGUUCGUGGAUGCUUACCACGACGGCGAGGAGGUCCGUUUUCGCCGAAUCGAGGGCAUCAUCGGGGAAGCAGAGGUGCCUGGGGUCGCAGCACGGCUGCUCGACGACGACCCUGAGCUUCUGCUGAUGAGCAUAGAAGAGCCCACAUCCUUUGCCGUGGCGGAACGCGACCCAAAUUGGCGGCGUGCCAUGCUGGAGGAGCUGCGGUCCAUCGAAGACAACCACACCUGGGAGCUGGUUGAUCCGCCGGCGGGAUGCCGGCCGAUUGGCCUCAAGUGGGUGUACAAGGUCAAGAAGGACGAGUACGGCACGAUCGUCAAGCACAAAGCGCGGCUGGUGGCCCGUGGCUUUGUGCAGCGCGAAGGCAUCGACUUCGAGGAGGUGUUUGCGCCGGUGGCGCGCAUGGAGUCGGUGAGAUUGCUGCUGGCACUCGCAGCAGCCAAGGAUUGGGGCGUCCAUCACCUCGACGUCAAGUCGGCCUUCCUGAACGGCGAGCUGGCGGAAGAGGUUUACGUCAAGCAGGCGCCAGGCUUUCAGGUGAAGGGGGAAGAGAGCAAGGUGCUUCGGCUGCGGAAGGCGUUGUAUGGCCUGCGGCAGGCCCCGCGGGCAUGGAAUGCCAAACUCGACGCCACCAUGGCGGAGCUUGGCUUCGCACGGUGUGCCACGGAGCAUGCCCUGUACACACGACGACGGGGGAAGGAGGAGCUCAUCGUCGGUGUGUAUGUGGACGAUCUGAUCGUCACUGGCGCGCGGGAGGAAGACAUCGCCAAAUUCAAGGCGGAGAUGGCGGCCCGAUUCAAGAUGAGCGAUCUAGGCGCGCUCUCGUACUACCUCGGCAUCGAGGUGAAGCAGGGGAAGGACGCGGUCAGGCUGGGGCAGCGCGCCUACGCGCUGAAGCUGCUGGAGCGGGCUGGAAUGGGCGACUGCAGGGCUGCAGCAACACCGAUGGAGGAGCGGAUCAAGCUCUCCAAACAAAGUGUGGCGAAGAAGGUUGAUGCCACACGAUACCGAAGCAUCGUCGGUGGGCUGCGCUGGCUCACUCACACCCGGCCGGACAUCGCGUUCGCGGUCGGGUAUGUGAGCAGAUUCAUGGAGGAUCCAAGGGAGGACCACUGGGCGGCGGUCAAGCGACUGCUGCGGUACAUCCAGGGGUCUUUGGACCUCGGUGUCGUCUUCCCCAAGCACGGCGAUCUUCGGCUGAAGGUGUUCAGCGAAGCGCCGCCCAGGGCAAAGGGCGGCGAGCCAGGGCUCACCGUGUUCAGUGAUGCAGACAUGGCGGGUGAUGUGGAUGGGCGGAAAAGCACCUCCGGGGUGUUCGUUUUCCUCGGAGCAGCGCCAGUGGCCUGGCAAUCACUGAAGCAGAAGACAGUGGCACUGUCAACCUGCGAGGCAGAGUAUGUGGCUGCUGCUACGGCGGCAUGUCAGGCGGUCUGGUUGCGGCGGCUGCUGAAGGAGCUCACUGGGAAGGAGUCUCAGCCGCCGGCUUUGCUGGUGGACAAUCAGCCGGCCAUUGCUCUUGCCAAGAACCCGGUGCUCCAUGACCGGAGCAAACACAUCGACGUCAAGUUCCAUUUCCUCAGGGAUUGCGUUGAUGGAGGACAGAUCACCAUCGAGUUUGUCGACACCGGCAGGCAACUCGCUGACAUUCUCACCAAGUCCCUCGGACGCCUCAGGUUUGUUGAGCUGAGGAAGAUGAUUGGCAUGGAUGAGGUCAAGGCUUAGCAGCAGGAUUAGGGGAAGAACUGUAAGACAUAAUCUGCAGCUAAACCUUUCUGUUUUGUUAAUGAUCAUAGGCAGGCAAUAGGUCAGCUCUUGGUCACAUAGGAGUAUGGCAAUAGGCCACUCUAGUACAGUAGUUGGUAGAACCAUACAUCAGCCAUACUUGGUAGGAGGAUGAUGUAUGCAGUGUACUAGGAGUAGUUGGGGCUGUACCCAGCCAUGCCUUGUGUACCUUAUAGUUGGUACAAGGCUUGUAUAUAUACACCAUGUAUGCAAUGAAGCAAAGGCAGUUUUAGUGCCACAUAUUUCCUGGGUUCAGGUUUCAGCCAAGACUGAAACCGUGUGUGAGUGUGUGUGCCUGAGCUCGGCUCAUCUUCUACCUUGGGUCAGGGGAGAGGAAGAGGGAAGGUGAGCAGGGUCUGCUUACCUGGUGC